rnacentral:rRNA from 1 species
AACGAACGCUGGCGGCAUGCCUAACACAUGCAAGUCGAACGAGACCUUCGGGUCUAGUGGCGCACGGGUGCGUAACGCGUGGGAACCUGCCCUUAGGUUCGGAAUAACUCCCCGAAAGGGGUGCUAAUACCGGAUAAUGUCUUCGGACCAAAGAUUUAUCGCCUUUGGAUGGGCCCGCGUUGGAUUAGCUAGUUGGUAGGGUAAAAGCCUACCAAGGCGACGAUCCAUAGCUGGUCUGAGAGGAUGAUUAGCCACACUGGGACUGAGACACGGCCCAGACUCCUACGGGAGGCAGCAGUGGGGAAUAUUGGACAAUGGGCGAAAGCCUGAUCCAGCAAUGCCGCGUGAGUGAUGAAGGCCUUAGGGUUGUAAAGCUCUUUUACCCGGGAUGAUAAUGACAGUACCGGGAGAAUAAGCUCCGGCUAACUCCGUA